CCUACGGGUGGCUGCAGUCGAGAAUCAUUCACAAUGGGGGAAACCCUGAUGGGGCGACGCCGCGUGGGGGAAUGAAGGUCUGCGGAUUGUAAACCCCUGUCAUGUGGGAGCAAAUUAAAAAGAUAGUACCACAAGAGGAAGAGACGGCUAACUCUGUGCCAGCAGCCGCGGUAAUACAGAGGUAUCAAGCGUUGUUCGGAACCACUGGGCGUAAGGCGUGCGUAGGCUGUUUCGUAAGUCGUGUGUGAAAGGCGCGGGCUCAACCCGCGGACGGCACAUGAUACUGCGAGACUAGAGUAAUGGAGGGGGAACCGGAAUUCUCGGUGUAGCAGUGAAAUGCGUAGAUAUCGAGAGGAACACUCGUGGCGAAGGCGGGUUCCUGGACAUUAACUGACGCUGAGGCACGAAGGCCAGGGGAGCGAAAGGGAUUAGAUACCCCUGUAGUC
rnacentral:rRNA from 1 species